rnacentral:rRNA from 1 species
AAAUUGAAGAGUUUGAUCAUGGCUCAGAUUGAACGCUGGCGGCAGGCCUAACACAUGCAAGUCGAACGGUAACAGGAAGCAGCUUGCUGCUUCGCUGACGAGUGGCGGACGGGUGAGUAAUGUCUGGGAAACUGCCUGAUGGAGGGGGAUAACUACUGGAAACGGUAGCUAAUACCGCAUAAUGUCGCAAGACCAAAGAGGGGGACCUUCGGGCCUCUUGCCAUCGGAUGUGCCCAGAUGGGAUUAGCUUGUUGGUGGGGUAACGGCUCACCAAGGCGACGAUCCCUAGCUGGUCUGAGAGGAUGA